rnacentral:lncRNA from 1 species
AAACAGGGGAGUUUCUGUUACGGAGAGAUUUUGAGAGUGUAGCAAAGCUGUGAAACAGAGAGAUUUAGCUGGCUCACUAGUUUUGUUGAUUUUGGAGAGGAUGGGGGUUGCUUUUAGGAGGCUGCAGAGAUCUUUUGUAAAAGAGGAGCAGAGGUGAAAAGGGGAGAGGGUGUGUUUUCUCUAAGGGGGAGAAGAGGUUUUGAAGCUAGUGGGAGAUUGCUGGAGGAGCAGCUUCUUGAGGGGGAAUUUCCUUUGGUUUGG